CAGCCGCCGCGGGAAUACAGAGGGUGCGAGCGUUAAUCGGAUUUACUGGGCGUAAAGCGUGCGUAGGCGGCUUCUUAAGUCGGAUGUGAAAUCCCUGAGCUUAACUUAGGAAUUGCAUUAGAUACUGGGAAGCUAGAGUAUGGGAGAGGAUGGUAGAAUUCCAGGUGUAGCGGUGAAAUGCGUAGAGAUCUGGAGGAAUACCGAUGGCGAAGGCAGCCAUCUGGCCUAAUACUGACGCUGAGGUACGAAAGCAUGGGGAGCAAACAGGAUUAGAUACCCCCGUAGUCCCUGUCUCUUAUAC
rnacentral:rRNA from 1 species